CUCAUGAACAUUUGCAGCGCACCCAACCCCACUGGUUCCUCCCACAGGUGGUGGGCCCAUGAGAUGGAGAGAGAGGUGCCACGUAGCUUUUUCGGGCUUUGCC